rnacentral:rRNA from 1 species
UACGUAGGUGGCAAGCGUUGUCCGGAUUUAUUGGGUUUAAAGGGUGCGUAGGCGGCCCUGUAAGUCAGUGGUGAAAUGCUCCAGCUUAACUGGAGAGGUGCCAAUGAUACUGCAGGGCUUGAGUACAGAUGAGGUAGGCGGAAUUGACGGUGUAGCGGUGAAAUGCAUAGAUACAAUCAAGAACACCGAUUGCGUAGGCAGCUUACUAGGCUGUAACUGACGCUGAGGCACGAAAGCGUGGGGAGCGAACAGG